GGUGAUUUAAGUCAGCGGUGAAAGUUUGUGGCUCAACCAUAAAAUUGCCGUUGAAACUGGGUUACUUGAGUGUGUUUGAGGUAGGCGGAAUGCGUGGUGUAGCGGUGAAAUGCAUAGAUAUCACGCAGAACUCCGAUUGCGAAGGCAGCUUACUAAACCAUAACUGACACUGAAGCACGAAAGCGUGGGGAUCAAACAGGAUUAGAUACCCUGGUAGUCCACGCAGUAAACGAUGAUUACUAGGAGUUUGCGAUACAAUGUAAGCUCUACAGCGAAAGCGUUAAGUAAUCCACCUGGGGAGUACGCCGGCAACGGUGAAACUCAAAGGAAUUGACGGGGGCCCGCACAAGCGGAGGAACAUGUGGUUUAAUUCGAUGAUACGCGAGGAACCUUACCCGGGUUUGAACGUAGUCUGACCGGAGUGGAAACACUCUUUCUAGCAAUAGCAGAUUACGAGGUGCUGCAUGGUUGUCGUCAGCUCGUGCCGUGAGGUGUCGGCUUAAGUGCCAUAACGAGCGCAACCCUUAUCACUAGUUACUAACAGGUGAAGCUGAGGACUCUGGUGAGACUGCCAGCGUAAGCUGUGAGGAAGGUGGGGAUGACGUCAAAUCAGCACGGCCCUUACAUCCGGGGCGACACACGUGUUACAAUGGCAUGGACAAAGGGCAGCUACCUGGUGACAGGAUGCUAAUCUCCAAACCAUGUCUCAGUUCGGAUCGGAGUCUGCAACUCGACUCCGUGAAGCUGGAUUCGCUAGUAAUCGCGCAUCAGCCAUGGCGCGGUGAAUACGUUCCCGGGCCUUGUACACACCGCCCGUCAAGCCAUGGGAGCCGGGGGUACCUGAAGUCCGUAACCGCAAGGAUCGGCCUAGGGUAAAACUGGUGACUGG
rnacentral:rRNA from 1 species